rnacentral:rRNA from 1 species
AAGGAAUAUUGGUCAAUGGUGGAAACACUGAACCAGCCGUCCCGCGUGCAGGACGAAGGCCCUCUGGGUUGUAAACUGCUUUUACCAGGAAAGAAACGAGUGGACUUGUCCGCUCCUGACGGUACCUGGGGAAUAAGCACCGGCUAACUCCGUGCCAGCAGCCGCGGUAAUACGGAGGGUGCAAGCGUUAUCCGGAAUCACUGGGUUUAAAGGGUGCGUAGGCGGCUUGGUAAGUCAGGGGUGAAAUCUUCCCGCUUAACGGGAGAACUGCCUUUGAUACUGCCAGGCUCGAAUCAGGUUGAGGCAGGCGGAAUGUGGCAUGUAGCGGUGAAAUGCUUAGAUAUGCCAUAGAACACCGAUUGCGUAGGCAGCUUGCCAAACCUCGACUGACGCUGAGGCACGAAAGCGUGGGGAGCAAAC